AUGACUGGCUAUUGCUACUACAUAAUUAUAGUCGAUGAUUUCACUCAUUAUUUAUGGAGUUUUCCUCUUCGCAAGAAGUCUGAUGUUUAUGCCACCUUUGUUGCCUUUCAUGCCAAUGCCUCAACCCAGUUUCAACUCUCGGUCCAGUGCGACGAUGGUCGUGAAUUCGAUAACACUAAACUUGACAAAUUUUGUAUAACGCAUGGUAUUAUUUUCUGCUUCUCAUGCCCCUAUACGUCUCAACAAAAUGGCAAGGCGGAGCGUGCCAUUCGUACAACAAAUGAUGUCGUAGGUACUCUUCUCUUCCAAGCAUCUCUUCCAUCAUUGUUUUGGGCUGAAGCUUUACACAAUGCUACCUAUCUCAUAAACAUACGACCUACCACUCCACCCUCCUACUCUUCCCCUUUCUUUCUCUUACAUGGUUGGCAUCCCCGAUACAAUGAUCUCCGUGUGUUUGGUUGUUUAUGCUAUCCCAACACAUCCUCCACUGCACCACAUAAACUCGUGCCACGUGCUGCCCGCUGUAUAUUUCUUGGUUAUCCCUCUCGACAUCAUGGUUACCGCUGCCUCGACCUCACCACUCGCUGCAUCAUCAUCUCUCGACAUGUCACCUUUGAUGAAACUACAUUUCCAUAUGCCCCACCUCCCAUCCCGACACCCUCUACUCAACUUGACAUCUUUGAUCCGCAGACUUAA
rnacentral:rRNA from 1 species